rnacentral:rRNA from 1 species
GGCUUAGAGUUUGAUCAUGGCUCAGGACGAACGCUGGCGGCGUGCUUUAUACAUGCAAGUCGAACGAGAAUCCGGACUUCGGUCUGGAGGAAAGUGGCGGACGGGUGAGUAAAAUGUAGAGAAUCUGCCCUUGAGCGGGGGACAACAGCUGGAAACGGUUGCUAAUACCCCAUAUGAGGUUAUUUGAAAUAGUAAUCUUGAAAACUCCGGUGCUCAAGGAUGAGUCUGCAUCUGAUUAGCUAGUUGGUGGUGUAAUGGACUACCAAGGCGAUGAUCAGUAGCUGGUUUGAGAGGAUGAUCAGCCACAAUGGGACUGAGACACGGCCCAUACUCCUACGGGAGGCAGCAGUAGGGAAUUUUGCGCAAUGGGGGAAACCCUGACGCAGCAACGCCGCGUGAUCGAUGAAGCCCUUCGGGGUGUAAAGAUCUGUCAGUGGGGACGAAACCUGACGGUACCCACAGAGGAAGCACCGGCUAACUCCGUGCCAGCAGCCGCGGUAAUACGGGGGGUGCAAGCGUUGUCCGGAAUCAUUGGGCGUAAAGAGUUCGUAGGUGGUAUGUUAAGUCUGGUGUUAAAGGCAGAAGCUCAACUUCUGUAGGGCACUGGAUACUGGCAAACUAGAAUGCGGUAGAGGUAAAGGGAAUUCCUGGUGUAGCGGUGAAAUGCGUAGAUAUCACGAGGAACAUCGGUGGCGUAAGCGCUUUACUGGGCCGUAAUUGACACUGAGGAACGAAAGCCGGGGUAGCAAAUGGGAUUAGAUACCCCAGUAGUCCCGGCCGUAAACGAUGGAUACUAGUGUUGCGGGUAUCGACCCCUGCAGUGCCGUAGCCAACGCGAUAGUAUCCCGCCUGGGGAGUACGCACGCAA